UACGAAGGGUGCUAGCGUUGUUCGGAAUUACUGGGCGUAAAGCGCACGUAGGCGGAUACUUAAGUUAGGGGUGAAAUCCCAGGGCUCAACCCUGGAACUGCCUUUAAUACUGGGUAUCUUGAGUUCGAGAGAGGUGAGUGGAAUUCCGAGUGUAGAGGUGAAAUUCGUAGAUAUUCGGAGGAACACCAGUGGCGAAGGCGGCUCACUGGCUCGAUACUGACGCUGAGGUGCGAAAGCGUGGGGAGCAAACAGG
rnacentral:rRNA from 1 species